rnacentral:rRNA from 1 species
UACGGAGGGAGCUAGCGUUGUUCGGAAUUACUGGGCGUAAAGCGUGCGCAGGCGGUUCGUUGUGUCGGUGGUGAAAUCCCGGGGCCCAACCCCGGAACUGCAUUCGAAAUCGCCUCGCUAGAGUCCCGGAGAGGAAGGCGGAAUUCCCGGUGUAGAGGUGAAAUUCGUAGAUAUCGGGAGGAACACCAGCGGCGAAGGCGGUUCUCUGGGACGGUACUGACGCUGAGACGGCGAAAGCGUGGGGAGCGAACAGG